rnacentral:rRNA from 1 species
AGUAUAAUGAUUCCGCAUGGUUUCAUUAUUAAAGGAUUCCGGUAAAGGAUGGGGAUGCGUUCCAUUAGGUUGUUGGUGAGGUAACGGCCCACCAAGCCUUCGAUGGAUAGGGGUUCUGAGAGGAAGGUCCCCCACAUUGGAACUGAGACACGGUCCAAACUCCUACGGGAGGCAGCAGUGAGGAAUAUUGGUCAAUGGGCGAGAGCCUGAACCAGCCAAGUAGCGUGAAGGAUGACUGCCCUAUGGGUUGUAAACUUCUUUUAUAAAGGAAUAAAGUCGGGUAUGCAUACCCGUUUGCAUGUACUUUAUGAAUAAGGAUCGGCUAACUCCGUGCCAGCAGCCGCGGUAAUACGGAGGAUCCGAGCGUUAUCCGGAUUUAUUGGGUUUAAAGGGAGCGUAGAUGGAUGUUUAAGUCAGUUGUGAAAGUUUGCGGCUCAACCGUAAAAUUGCAGUUGAUACUGGAUAUCUUGAGUGCAGUUGAGGCAGGCGGAAUUCGUGGUGUAGCGGUGAAAUGCUUAGAUAUCACGAAGAACUCCGAUUGCGAAGGCAGCCUGCUAAGCUGCAACUGACAUUGAGGCUCGAAAGUGUGGGUAUCAAACAGGAUUAGAUACCCUGGUAGUCCAC